rnacentral:tRNA from 1 species
GCCUGGGUGGCUCAGUCGGUUGAGCGUCCGACUUCGGCUCAGGUCAUGAUCUCAUGGCCCGUGGGUUCAAGCCCCGCACUGGGCU